AGAGUUUGAUCCUGGCUCAGGAUGAACGCUGGCGGCGUGCUUAACUCAUGCAAGUCGAACGAAGCAUUUGCGACAGAUUUCUUCGGAUUGAAGUUGCUUAUGACUGAGUGGCGGACGGGUGAGUAACGCGUGGGUAACCUGCCUCAUACAGGGGGAUAGCAGCUGGAAACAGCUGGUAAUACCGCAUAAGCGCACAGUACCACAUGGUACAGUGUGAAAAACUCCGGUGGUAUGAGAUGGACCCGCGUCUGAUUAGCUAGUUGGCGGGGUAACGGCCCACCAAGGCGACGAUCAGUAGCCGACCUGAGAGGGUGACCGGCCACAUUGGGACUGAGACACGGCCCAGACUCCUACGGGAGGCAGCAGUGGGGAAUAUUGCACAAUGGAGGAAACUCUGAUGCAGCGACGCCGCGUGAGUGAAGAAGUAGUUCGCUAUGUAAAGCUCUAUCAGCAGGGAAGAUAGUGACGGUACCUGACUAAGAAGCUCCGGCUAAAUACGUGCCAGCAGCCGCGGUAAUACGUAUGGAGCAAGCGUUAUCCGGAUUUACUGGGUGUAAAGGGAGUGUAGGUGGCCAGGCAAGUCAGAAGUGAAAGCCCGGGGCUCAACCCCGGGACUGCUUUUGAAACUGCAGGGCUAGAGUGCAGGAGGGGCAAGUGGAAUUCCUAGUGUAGCGGUGAAAUGCGUAGAUAUUAGGAGGAACACCAGUGGCGAAGGCGGCUUGCUGGACUGUAACUGACACUGAGGCUCGAAAGCGUGGGGAGCAAACAGGAUUAGAUACCCUGGUAGUCCACGCCGUAAACGAUG
rnacentral:rRNA from 1 species